AUUGAACGCUGGCGGCAGGCCUAACACAUGCAAGUCGAGCGGAUGAAGGGAGCUUGCUCCUGGAUUCAGCGGCGGACGGGUGAGUAAUGCCUAGGAAUCUGCCUGGUAGUGGGGGAUAACGUCCGGAAACGGGCGCUAAUACCGCAUACGUCCUGAGGGAGAAAGUGGGGGAUCUUCGGACCUCACGCUAUCAGAUGAGCCUAGGUCGGAUUAGUUAGUUGGUGGGGUAAAGGCCUACCAAGGCGACGAUCCGUAACUGGUCUGAGAGGAUGAUCAGUCACACUGGAACUGAGACACGGUCCAGACUCCUACGGGAGGCAGCAGUGGGGAAUAUUGGACAAUGGGCGAAAGCCUGAUCCAGCCAUGCCGCGUAUGUGAAGAAGGUCUUCGGAUUGUAAAGCACUUUAAGUUGGGAGGAAGGGCAGUAAGUUAAUACCUUGCUGUUUUGACGUUACCAACAGAAUAAGCACCGGCUAACUUCGUG
rnacentral:rRNA from 1 species